CUUGAAUUUCCUGUCUGCGAAUCCUGUUUGUCACCUGGUUGAGGUUAGUUAGCUAGGUUAUAUAAACGUGACGUGAAGAUGAUGAGCAAGGCUGUUACGACGAAUUUUCUGAAAUCCUUGCGAGGGUUCCCAGGCCACGGAAUGAACUACGCUCAAAGUACUAUCGAGAGGAGAAAGAUGAGAUGCGACUUCUCCAUGGAUUUUCAAGCAACACCAAUGGUAUUCUAUCCACCAGCCUCUCCUACGAUAAUUAUAGAACUGGCGCCAUGAAAUCUGUAAAUCAUUGGGUGUUAUUAAUUUGAUUAAAUAAAUGUGAUCUUUGAGUAUUGCUACCACCACAGAACCUUCAACUCAAUAGAUUUUAUUUAAUGACUCUAGGAAACAAGAGUGAAUUAUUACGGUAACCCUCACUCCAGAACCCAUGCAUAUGGCUGGGAAAGUGCAAUGGAAAAAGCUAGAAAGUUAUUUGAAUGACAAUUCAUCGACCAGCUUUUGCAUCAUAUCAUCAAAUGAUGACAGAGGCUAACAUAUCUUCAUUUGAUGGAUCCUUACAGCAAGUGGCACACCUGAUUUGCUACAGAUCCUCAUGAAAUCGUAUUCACAAGUGGUGCCACUGAAUCCAAUAUGUCAGUCACUCUUGUACUGCUUUAGUCAGAUUAAGAGCAGGAUUGGGGAGAGUGAAUAAUACAUGUCAAUAACUGCCUUCUGUUGAAAAGAUUAAUACAUAAGGAGUUAAGGUUGAUCAACUGUUCUGUUUAAUUCAUUUGUAAAUGAAGAUCGAGCGUUGGACUAGUAACCGGAAGGUUGCGAGUUCAAACCCCCGAGCUGACAAGGUACAAAUCUGUCGUUCUGCCCUUAAACAGGCAGUUAACCCACUGUUCCCAGGCCGUCAUUGAAAAUAAGAAUGUGUUCUUAACUGACUUGCCUGGUUAAAUAAAGGUAAAAAUUGUUUAAAAAAUUUUUUUUUUAAAGGAACAGUGUCUGUUUUUGUUUCUUCCCACAAUGCUUUCCUUCUAUGGUGUGGUUAGUUUUACAGGGCUAAGAAGAAGCACGUUAUCACUACUCAGACGGAGCAUAAGUGUGCUUGGACUCCUGUCGAGUCUUGGAGGCAGAGGGCUUUGGCAUAACCCAUCUUCCUGUGAAAACUAAUGGCCACUAAUGGUUGUGUAAUAUAAACAUUUGUUUGAUGUGCAAUGUUUUAUAGAGCCUCAUUGUAUAAAUCCACUACUGCUUGUACCAAGAAUAAGCUCAAUUGUUCAAGUAACUUAGCCUAUUUCUUCAAUAUGUUUGCAUGUCCUAAAUACCACCACAUGCUGAUCUUAACGUUGACAUUUUUUUUAUAGCUACUGGAGGAAACAAUUCAUCCAGACAAGUUGUCUGACGGUGUCGAAGACAGUAUGAUCACAGCCUUGAGUCCAUUUUGGCAAACCGCCAUAUGCAGAAGAUCAUGUCAGAGAUCCCUGAUGUUGUGAUGAAUGGUGAUCCAGAGCAAACAUCCCCUGCUCUGUGCUUCACCUGGUGCCUGCACCUCUGCUUCAUUGAAGCCUUCAUGUGUCUUGAGAGCAAUUGGAACAGAUGAGGACCUGGCCCACUCCUCAGUCAGAAGUGGACUAUACAGCGGACACGUGCAUUCAGCAGGUCAAACGCCUUAGAGAGAUGAGCCCCUUGUGGGAGAUGAUGCAAGAAGGGAUCGAUAUAAAGAGCAUUAAGUGGACUCAGCACUAGAGAGAGCCUUCAGGAAACAUACCUAAGAGCAUUGUGAAUACUGAACUUGCUCAGUUUCGUGCCUAAAAUGCCACUCUUGGGAUGACUGGAAAUAAUUUAUACCGUUUAGAAACGCAGAACUUCCUGACUUAUGUUAGUGUAGGCCUACAAGUAUAUUUUGUAUUGGCAGACCUGAAUAAUUUUGUUCCUUUUGUAUUUGACAAAGUAUUAUUAUUGACAGAAAUGAUGUGCUCUUGAAGCAGGAAUCCACUACCCUGCUUGUGUUGUGCACACGGUUUUUAGUAUUACUGUUCGCCCCAGCAAUUUUAUUGUUUUUGUUUCACCAUAGUGCUGGGUCGGACAGUAAUACCAAUAACCGAGCACACAACACAAGCAGUGGAGCUGUAGCAGAUUCCUGACUUUAAGUAGUUCAACAGCAUUGACCAUUGGAUUUCAUGACUGUGAGCAAGUUACAAAAUGGUUCGUUUAUGUAGUGCAGUUGAAGUCAGAAGUUUACUUACACUUAGGUUGGAGUCAUUAAAACUCAUUUUUCAACAACUCCACAAUUUACUUGUUAACAAACUAUAGUUUUGGCAAUUCGGUGAGGAUAUCUACUAUGUGCAUAACACAAGUAAUUUUUCCAACAAUUGUUUACAGACAGAUUAUUUCACUUAUAAUUCACUGUAUCACAAUUCCAGUGGGUCAAACGUUUACAUACACUAAGUUGACUGGGCCUUUAAACAGCUUGGAAAAUUCCAGAAAAGGAUGUCAUGGCUUUGGAAGCUUCUGAUAGGCUAAUUGACAUAAUUUGAGUCAAUUGGGAGUGUACCUGUGGAUGUAUUUCAAGGCCUACCUUCAAACUCAGUGCCUCUUUGCUUGACAUUGGAAAAUCAAAAUAAAUCAGCCAAGACCUCAGAAAAAGACCUCCACAAGUCUGGAUCAUCCUUGGGAGCAAUUUCCAAAUGCCUGAAGGUACCACGUUCAUCUGUACAAACAAUUUGUACAGAUUCGCAAGUUGUCACCAUGGAACCACGCAGCCGUCAUACCACUUAGGAAUGACGCGUUCUGUCUCCUAGAGAUGAAGUACUUUGCUGCUGUUCUGGGAUUGAUUGACACUUUUUACACGAAUAUGCUGAAGAUGCUGGUGGAAAUGGGUACAAAAGUAUCUAUAUCCACAGUAAAACGAGUCCUAUAUUUACAUUUACAUUUAAGUCAUUUAGCAGACGCUCUUAUCCAGAGCGACUUACAAAUUGGUGCAUUCACCUUAUGACAUCCAGUGGAACAGCCACUUUACAAUAGUGUAUCUAAAUCUUUUAAGGGGGGGGGGGGGUGAGAAGGAUUACUUUAUCCUAUCCUAGGUAUUCCUUAAAGAGGUGGGGUUUCAGGUGUCUCCGGAAGGUGGUGAUUGACUCCGCUGUCCUGGCGUCGUGAGGGAGUUUGUUCCACCAUUGGGGAGCCAGAGCAGCGAACAGUUUUGACUGGGCUGAGCGGGAACUGUACUUCCUCAGUGGUAGGGAGGCGAGCAGGCCAGAGGUGGAUGAACGCAGUGCCCUUGUUUGGGUGUAGGGCCUGAUCAGAGCCUGGAGGUACUGAGGUGCCGUUCCCCUCACAGCUCCGUAGGCAAGCACCAUGGUCUUGUAGCGGAUGCGAGCUUCAACUGGAAGCCAGUGGAGAGAGCGGAGGAGCAGGGUGACGUGAGAGAACUUGGGAAGGUUGAACACCAGACGGGCUGCGGCGUUCUGGAUGAGUU